rnacentral:rRNA from 1 species
UUUUAAAUCGGAAGGAACCUUCCAAGUCUUGACAUCCUUAUGACAAUAUUUGUUAAUGAGAUAUUCCCUUCGGGACAUAAAUGACAGUGUGGUGUAUGGGUGUCGUCCUCUCGUGUCGAGAUAUGUUGGGUUAUGUCCCGCAACGAGCGCCACCCCUUGUCCUCAGUAGCCAGCAGUUCGGCUGGGCACUCUGUGGAGACUGCCAGGGAUGAACCUGGAGGAAGGGGGGGAUGACAUCAAAUCAUCAUGCCCCUUAUGACUUGGGCUACACACGUGCUACAAUGGCGUAAACAAAGGGAAGCGAAACCGCGAGGUCGAGCAAAUCUCAAAAAUAACGUCCCAGUUCGGAUUGUAGUCUGCAACUCGACUACAUGAAGCUGGAAUCGCUAGUAAUCCCAAAUCAAAAUGCUGCGGUAAAUACUUUCCCGGGUCUUGCACCCCCCGA